UAUUGCUUGAGAAUACACGUGAC
rnacentral:miRNA from 16 species